UACGUACCGGACGAACGUUAUUCGGAAUCACUGGGCUUAAAGAGUGCGUAGGCGGCCCUGCAGGUGAGGUGUGAAAUCCCACGGCCCAACCGUGGAAUUGCGCUUCAAACCGCAAGGCUGGAGGGAGACAGGGGUGAGCGGAACUGAUGGUGGAGCGGUGAAAUGCGUUGAUAUCAUCAGGAACACCUGUGGCGAAGGCGGCUCACUGGGUCUCUUCUGACGCUGAGGCACGAAAGCUAGGGGAGCGAAC
rnacentral:rRNA from 1 species